CCCGGGACUCAAUGAAUGAUAAACAAGCAUUGUGAAGCAGAGCUGGGAUCCACCUUGGCUUCCAUCCCCAGCAGCAAAUCUCAUAAGAAGUGAGCACCAUCGUCCACAAGGAGGGCUUCACAGAAGGUGGGAAGAUGUUCAUGGGAGUGUGGAAAAUCAGCGAGAUGAGGGCGUCUUCUCUGCUGGGUGACAUUGGCACAUGCCUAGUCAGAAACAUAAUCCCCUCCUGGGAGACUCUGGGAGGAACAAAUUCACUUCUCCCUAGGUCCUGUGGAUGGAGAAACCCAGAAGAGGACAGGUUCUCGCGACAUAGACAUCUACCUGGAGCCAGCCAAGUGUGGACUAAAACCUCCAAUCCCUGUGAAGUGACCUGGGAGUAAGCUGAAUCGUCUGAAGAAUCAAGGACAAACACAGAGAGACAAGGAUUAGAACCUGAACUUCAAGGAUGGCUGUUACAGAGUGUAUCAAUCAGCUUCUGCUGCAUAAGAAAUCCCUACAACACCUCACACAACCUCAAUGUUUGCUUCAUUCAUGAAUCUGUUGAGUCUUCAUGGGACAUUCAGCUUUGGCUGGCACCAGGCUAAAGGAAUGGAAAGUCCCUUGGAGAAACUGUGCUCAUGGCUUUGGAAGAAAUAUAAGGCAGCUGAGCAAGUGGAAGAUCAUGAGUCCGUUUUAGGCAUAGGCUUGUGCCUAGUAAAUUGUCACUUCUGUCCCAUUCUAUUGACCAAAGCAAGUCAUGGAGCCAAGCUUCAAGUCAAGGAAUUGAGAGGUCAGGAGAGGUGAAGAAUUGUGGCCUUUGAUUGGAUCUAUUACUUAAUGAGUGGGCUCUAGUGGGUGAGGGUGGUAAUAGAGGCAGAGAUAUCCCCAUGCAGACAUACAUAAAAGUGGGGAAGCAUACUUGUUGCACCCAGUAAGGGGGUCUUUAAAGCAGGGGUGGCUAGGAGUCUCCUGUAACAACCCUCUGCAUCUCUUUGGGUCCUUGCUCUCACUCAAGCAAAGAAUGGAGAAGUGGGGCUCUUAGCAAAAAAA